AUUGAACGCUGGCGGCAGGCCUAACACAUGCAAGUCGAACGAGUGGCGGACGGGUGGGUAAUGUCUGGGCAACUGCCUGAUGGAGGGGGAUAACUACUGGAAACGGUAGCUACUACCGCAUACGAUCCGCUGGGCCCAGAUGGGAGUAGUUAGUUGGUGGGGUAACGGCUCACCAAGGCGACGAUCCCUAGCUGGUCUGAGAGGAUGACCAGCCACACUGGAACUGAGACACGGCCCAGACUCCUACGGGAGGCAGCAGUGGGGAAUAUUGCACAAUGGACGCAAGCCUGACGCAGCCACGCCGCGUGUAUGAAGAAGGCCUUCGGGUUGUAAAGUUCUUUCAGCGGGGAGGCGUUACCCGCACAGGAAGCACCGGCUAACUCCGUGCCAGCAGCCGCGGUAAUUC
rnacentral:rRNA from 1 species